GGACCUGGGCUUGGGCAGGCACAUGGCCCCUUCCUCACCCAGCGCUCCAUAUGCAUCCCUCCCAAAGCUGCUGGGGCACAGAGGACGACCUCCCCGAUACAGACAGUACAUUUUAUCACUCAAGGCUAUUGGGCAGCUGCGCUCCCUGCCACAACCUUCAAACCUGCCCAUGGUACUAGGGCUGCAUUUCUAGGGCUUUCCCGGUAGUCAUAAAUAAAAUUUUGCACAAAAGAAAAUU
rnacentral:sRNA from 1 species